UACGGGAGGCAGCAGUGGGGAAUAUUGCACAAUGGGCGCAAGCCUGAUGCAGCCAUGCCGCGUGUAUGAAAAAGGCCUUCGGGUUGUAAAGUACUUUCAGUCGUGAGGAAGGUGUUAAGGUUAAUAACCUUAGCAAUUGACGUUAGCGACAGAAGAAGCACCGGCUAACUCCGUGCCAGCAGCCGCGGUAAUACGGAGGGUGCGAGCGUUAAUCGGAAUUACUGGGCGUAAAGGGCACGCAGGCGGUUAAUUAAGUUGGAUGUGAAAUCCCCGGGCUUAACCUGGGAAUGGCAUUCAAGACUGGUUAGCUAGAGUCUUGUAGAGGGGGGUAGAAUUCCAUGUGUAGCGGUGAAAUGCGUAGAGAUGUGGAGGAAUACCGGUGGCGAAGGCGGCCCCUGGACAAAGACUGACGCUCAUGUGCGAAAGCGUGGGGAGCAAACAGGGAUUAGGAUA
rnacentral:rRNA from 1 species